rnacentral:rRNA from 1 species
GUUGUAAUCUGCAGAGGGAGUUUCGGGUCAAGUCUGGUUUAAGUUCCUUGGAACAGGACGUCAUAGAGGGUGAGAACCCCGUCAGUGACCAGUCACCAGCCCAUGUGAAACCCCUUCGACGAGUCGAGUUGUUUGGGAAUGCAGCUCCAAAUGGGUGGUAAAUUUCAUCUAAAGCUAAAUAUUGGCCGGAGACCGAUAGCGCACAAGUAGAGUGAUCGAAAGAUGAAAAGCACUUUGGAAAGAGAGUUAAAUAGUACGUGAAAUUGUUGAAAGGGAAGCGCUUGCGGCCAGACCUGUGCAUAGGUGAUCAGUUGAUAUUUUUAUCAAUGCAGUCACCUAAAGCCAGGCCAGCAUCGGUUUCGGCGGCGGGACAAAAGCGUGGAGAAUGUAACUCUCUCUCGGGUGAGUACUUAUAGCUCGUCAUGAAAUGCCGCCAGCCGGGACCGAGGACCGCGCUUCGGCUAGGAUGCUGGCGUAAUGGUUGCAAGCGACCCGUCUUGAAACACGGACCAAGGAGUCUAACAUCUAUGCGAGUGUUUGGGUGUAAAACCCAGGCGCGGAAUGAAAGUGAACGGAGGUGGGAACCCUUAAAGGGGGUGCACCAUCGACCGAUCCUGAUGUCUUCGGAUGGAUUUGAGUAUGAGCAUAGCUGUUGGGACCCGAAAGAUGGUGAACUAUGCCUGAACAGGGUGAAGCCAGAGGAAACUCUGGUGGAAGCUCGCAGCGGUUCU